UCGGUGAGCCGGCUUAUCGCUGCGCCUUCGGGUGGGGAGGAAAGUCCGGGCAACGCAGAGCAUCCUGCUUCCUAACGGGAAGGCACCUGGCGGGGAACGGCCAGGUGACAGCCAGUGCCACAGAAAAGUACCGCCGGCUUGCCGGUAAGGGUGAAAAGGUGCGGUAAGAGCGCACCAGCGGCUAGGCGACUAGUCCGGCUGGGUAAACCUCAGGAGUUGAAAGACCAAAUAGGCUGACAGCGCCAUGCCUUAGGGCAAGGCUAAGGGCUGCUCGUCCGAUGUCAGCGGGUAGGUUGAUGGAGCCCCUCCGUGAGGGCGGGCCUAGAUAAAUGAUAAGCCAUUUGCCUCUGGGCAGAAGACAAAACCCGGCUUACAGGCUCACUGAUUUU
rnacentral:RNase_P_RNA from 1 species